CGCGUAGGCGGCCUUCUAAGUCAGACGUGAAAUCCCCGGGCUCAACCCGGGAACUGCGUCUGAUACUGGAAGGCUUGAAUCCGGGAGAGGGAUGUGGAAUUCCAGGUGUAGCGGUGAAAUGCGUAGAUAUCUGGAGGAACACCGGUGGCGAAGGCGGCAUCCUGGACCGGUAUUGACGCUGAGGCGCGAAAGCCAGGGGAGCAAACGGGAUUAGAUACCCCGGUAGUCCUGGCCCUAAACGAUGAAUGCUUGGUGUGGCGGGUAUCGAUCCCUGCCGUGCCGAAGCUAACGCAUUAAGCAUUCCGCCUGGGGAGUACGGUCGCAAGGCUGAA
rnacentral:rRNA from 1 species